GCGCUUGUAGCUUAAUGGAUAAAGCAACUGUUUAGCUGACGGUUAGAUGCGGGUUCGAGUCCCGCCGAGCAUU
rnacentral:tRNA from 1 species